UACGUAGGGUGCAAGCGUUGUCCGGAAUUAUUGGGCGUAAAGAGCUCGUAGGCGGCUUGUCGCGUCGGCUGUGAAAACCUGGGGCUCAACCCCGGGCCUGCAGCCGAUACGGGCAAGCUAGAAUUCGGUAGGGGAGACUGGAAUUCCUGGUGUAGCGGUGAAAUGCGCAGAUAUCAAGAGGAACACCUGAGGUGAAGACGGGUUGCUAGGCUGACACUGACGCUGAGGCGCGAAAGCCAGGGGAGCAAACGGG
rnacentral:rRNA from 1 species